rnacentral:lncRNA from 1 species
AGAAGACAAGAUGGCGCCGGUUUACUUCGUGGUCAAAGGACAUUUUUGUUCACAAAUACACACUUGUUUUACGUUAUAGCGACUGGUUAGUUUUGGAAAUUAUAACUCAAUAGACAGGGAUUCUUUAGUGAAGAGAAAAAUACGUGCAGUUGUUGACUUAUUGUGAUGUUAUUUGUUGUGAAAGACGGCCCGAAAUUUCGCUACAUCGCUGUACUGGUUUAUCAAAAGUUCUACUGGCAAUUCGACGAUGGAUAAAGAAACAACGCUUGAAUGAAAGAACAGCCUGUCUUAAUGGUAAGUUUUUAAAGGGUUGAGUAAUAUUUUUUAGUUUAAAGACCAUGUCAAGUUCUGCGCAUCAGUUCUGCUCAUAAGGCCACAUAGUCCCCGACCUCCAAUUUUUUUAAAUUUUUUUUUUUAAAUUUGUCCGAGUUUAGUGGAAAAACUCUAUAAAAAAGACCGUUUUACUUGAAAAAAUGGUGAUUUUAUUCUUCUGGGAGCUAUGUAAUACGUUUACACAAAGUUUCCUUCCCAGAAUAUGCCUGUUCGCAGCUAAAGUGUUCGCGCGUGACCGCCAAACGGUAAUUUUCUGGUUUAUUAAAAACAUGAACGGGAAGUUAAAAAACAUGAACGGAUUUUGAAAGAAUUAAAGUGAGUUUUGACUGUGGUAAUAUACUGGAUUUCCUGCAUUUAGCAGAAUUUUGUGUUGCAUUUUACGAAAAAAAAAAAAAAAUCCGUCCGCCCGACCUAGAAAAAUUAAAAUGGGUGGACGCUAAACAAGUCAUUUUUUUUAUGUGGCCUAACAAAGGGGAUCCCACAUUGCCCAUUGAAUUGAAACGUACUCUAGUUUAUAUUAAUUUACAAUAGCGAACCAGAAAAGUGUUUGGUAUUUAGUUAGUCUUUAUUUGACAAAUAUAGCAGUUCAAAAUGUAUUGAUGUAUUAAACAAAGGAUUUGUUUACAUUGGGUCAUUCCAUUUAUUAUCCGCACCCCCCCUAUGGAUGAGCUCUGGUAAAAAUGUUACCUGUAGGAAUCGGAUUUCAGAGAAGUACCCUGUUGGAAUCGACAGUAUCAAUCUAAACCCUAGGAAUGCUGCUAAUUGCCAAUAUCUCACUGGAAUCGGAUUUCAGAGAAGUACCCUGUUGGAAUCGACAGUAUCAAUCUAAACCGGUAGGAAUGCUGCUAAUUGCCAAUAUCUCACUGGUAGGAAUCUGCUAAUUGCCAAUAUCUCACCGGUAGGAAUCUGCUAAUUCCCAAUGUCAGACGGGGGGUCAGACCGGGGGUGGGGGUGAGAAUAAUAAAUGAAAUUAUUAUGAUUCUCAUAAUAAAUAUUUGGCAAUAUAGUAUGCUACACCUUGACGGCAAUAUCUGACCGGUAGGAAUCGGGCCAAAGGAAUCUGUUAAUUCCCAAUAUCUGACCAGUAGGAAUCCCCUAAGUCCUAAUAUCUGACCGGUAGGAAUCCGCUCAUCCAUAGGGGGGGUGUGGAUAAUAAAUGGAAUGACCCAUUACGGACUUGACAUGGUCUUUAAAGCUCUAGUCUCGAAGCUAUACUUCGGUAGCAGUCUUCGGUAGAGUCAGUAGACAAAUAAUUUGGCUAUAAACGUUGUUUGAUACAUCUCGUUGCUACUCACAACUUCACGUAAUUCACAUGCCUAUAAGUAAUUUGCCAAACGAGGCUUGAAAUUUAUAGUAGAACCCCAACACUUACUCACUAAUUUGUACUCCUCCAGUAAUAUUAUAGCUCAGUGGUUGAAGCUAGUCAGUGUAGUCACUUUCAUCAAAAUGGGCCACAGCGAUGUAGAGGUAUUGAUAUUAUAUGAAUAUUUAUAUUAUUCUCAUUCAACCGUAAAACUUGAUAACUUUAACACAUUUCUUUGCGUUUAAUAUUUGAACAUUUGGUUACGUUGCAUUAGAUCGGAACAAUGAAAUCUGGACGUUUUGAGUGUGAAAUUGUAAAUGGUAUAUAUCGUGUCGACUGUCGACAAGCACUCUACUCAUUUAUGUUUCAAAACUCGGCAAACGCAAGCUUGCUAUUGGUCUAUAUAUGUAUAUGAACUUGAAUUACAGGAGCGAAACGCUUGAAAAUAUGAAAAAUUGCUAAUACAAAACCAUGUGCUUGACAGUUGACACGAUAUAUACCAUUACAAUUUCACACUCAAAACGUCCAGAUUUCAUUGUUCCGAUCUAAUGCAACGUAACCAAACGUUCAAAUAUUAAACGUAAAGAAAUGUGUUAAAGUUAUCAAGUUUUACGGUUGAAUGAGAAUAAUGCACCUAUCAAUGUUAAGCCCCCAGGGGGGGAGGCCGGGAUAUAGGUGGGGAUUAGACUUUUUGAAGAAAAUUUUGAGCUAAUGCCCCAAUAUGGGGCAACAAAAUACAGGCGAAUAUUGAAAUAUUCCCCACCCUGGGGACCAAAUCCCCAUUAACAAAUUCUGUUGAGAAUAGAGCAGCAACGUUGUUUAAAAUUAUUAAAAGGAUUUUAUUCACAGAACUGUUGAUUGUUGAAUGAUUUAGGACUGUUAAAUUUUAUUUAGGACCAAUGAAUGUUUCAACAACAUUAUUCAAGUUUUUCUCCAUCAAAACGUUCAAAAAUUCCGUUAAAAUUCUAUUUCUACUCGUUUCGCUCGCCAUUCUGCUUGCUUUCCAUGGGGUUGCCCAACCGCAUCCAAGGAAUUACUGGUCAGCGGUAGUCACACGACUUAAACACGUGGUUUAAGAUUUGUCAAAUGUACCAACCCUCGGGCUCUGAAGAAUGGUAAAUAUCCCCACUUGGGGCAAGAAAUUUCGUGCAAAUCCCGAGGGUACGCCCGGCCUCCCCCCCCCCUGGGGGCAUAACAUUGAUAGGUGCAUAAUAUAAACAUUCAUAUAAUAUCAAUACCUCUACAUCGUGUCUUCGUCCAUUUCGACUAUGGCUUGGCGGGAAUUUGUAAAAUAUCCCUAAUUCACCCCCAGUCUGCAUUUUAUCCUCAGUCUGCAUUUUAUACCAUUUUGUACCCAGUCCCAUCUGCAGUCUGCAGUCAGUGUUCCGGUUUCAUAUUGGUGAUUGCUAGAAAGUAUACUUCAAAAUAAGGUUUCCGUUUUUAUAACGUAGAAAAAACUAUCCUAACGCCAAACUAAACCCUAAUACUAACCCGAACCCUAACCACAACCCUAACAUAACCCUAACCUAACCCUAACUUAUUUAAAAAAUUGAUAUAAAAACGGAAACCUUAUUUUGAAGUAUACUAUCUAGCAAUUGCCGUUUCAUAUCGCGGUAGUCCCCAAUCUCGUAUCCAGAGCAAUGCCGCGCCGGCUAGGAAAGCAUUGGCUCUGGGGAAAUUGACAACCGGAACCCCUAAAUUUAGGGGUUCCGCUUCUUUGUCGACAUGCACGAUUGAUAAACGUUAAACCAAUCACAGCACAGGAAAAAUUCAAUUUCCCCAGAGCCAAUGUCAUCCUAGCCCGCGUACAGGCAUUGCUCUGGGUACGAGAUUGGGUAGUCCCCCCCCCCCUCCCCCGUCCAUGACACUUGUGACGUCAGGUACAUACGGGACUUUGGGGGCGGGUUUUGGCGGGAAAAUCUGUAAUGUUUGGAGAAGACAAGAUGGCGCUGGUUACCUCGUGUUAUAUCAAAGGGCAUUUUUGUUCACAAAUACCCGCUUAUUUUACGUUAUAGCGACUGGUUCGUCUUGGAAAUUAUAACUCAAUGGACGGGGAAAAUGAUUCUGUAUUAAAGAGAAAAAGAUGUGCAGUUAUUGUGAUGUUAUUUGUUGUGAAAGACGGCCCGAAAUUUCGCUACUUCGCAGUACUGGUUUAUAAAACAUUUACAAGCAACAGCAAUUGAACUAUAUGACAAAGAAACCAAUGUGUACAAGCCAAUCAAGUUCUUCAGUUUGAAGGUCAGUUUAUUUUUAAUAAUUAGUUCAUGUAGUUAUAUAUUAAUACGAAGUACAGGGCCAUUCCAUUUAAUAUCCACACCCUCCUGUUGACUAGAUUUUCCGAAGGGGGUCUGAAAUUUUGAAUUUCUGAGGGUGUGCCAAGUUGAAAUUUCCGAGGGGGUUUGUGAAAGGAAAAUUUUUUAAGGUGUCAACAUUUUUGUAAUUUUCCAAGGAGUUAAAAAAUUUUUUUAAAUUUCUGAGGGGGGAGGAGGAAGGUAUACCUGUUGACGAAAAUUUCUGAGGGGGUGGUAAAUAAUUCCCAAAAAUUACUGAGGGGUCUAUCAUAGUGGAACCACGUCAACAGUUAUUUCUAAGGGCUUGAGAAAAAUUGUAAAUUUCUGAGGGGGUUCUUAAAAAAUAGC